UACAGAGGGUGCGAGCGUUUAAUCGGAAUUACUGGGCGUAAAGCGCGCGUAGACGGUUUUGUAAGUCAGAUGUGAAAUCCCUGGGCUCAACCUGGGAACUGCAUCUGUGACUGCAUCGCUGGAGUGCGGCAGAGGGGGAUGGAAUUCCGCGUGUAGCAGUGAAAUGCGUAGAUAUGCGGAGGAACACCGAUGGCGAAGGCAAUCCCCUGGGCCUGCACUGACGCUCAUGCACGAAAGCGUGGGGAGCAAACAGG
rnacentral:rRNA from 1 species